AAAAAAAAAGAAAUUAUAGACUAUGUUGCAAUGUUGUGGGUAAUGUAUUUUAAAUAAUUUCAGGUCUUUGUACUAUGACCAUAAUGGAUCCCUUAACAGAUGCCUAUUAAGUUAAAUCUAACCAUCUGGUUAAAAUGAACUAAAUCUUGUAAAUGACACUGGUUUUUCUGUGAGGCUGCUUCACCUGACCUACUACUUCUAGAAAUUGUGCUUCCUCUGUUAGCCAUGUUUCUCGAUUGCCAUGAAAAUAAUAAAAUUACCUUAAGACACCAAAGUCAAGACCACAUCACAACACAAUCUUCCCUGAAGACCCAGGCAGUAUUUAGGACCCCAGGGAGAUUAUUUAUCACUGAUGAAUACCUCUGAGAUUAAAAUGAAAUGGAAAUGGAAGUAACGGGGAUUUGAGAGUAGUAUACUAUGAGGGGAAGACGGUGAGUAGAAUAGAAUCAAGAAACACUCAACCACAGAGAUGCAAUCAAUGAUUACAUUGCUCAAAUUACUCUUGUUUUUCAAAAACCACAAGCAAACCACUUAGUCUCUGAGUCACAGUUUCUUCUAAAUUGCAGAAUUACACAAAAUGAUCCCUUCCAGCACUGAAACUCUGUGACCACAGAACUAAAUUAUGUUUUGUAAUGUAGUAUAGGCUUCAUUCCCAUCCCAUGCCUCAAAAUGCCAAGACACUGGCCUACCAAGUACUAAACUUCUGAUACGUAUACAUAAAGAUGUGAAUAUGUGGCUAUCUUAGUCCCCCAUCUUCAGACAUGACAUACCUCUGGUCUAGAAACUCCUUGGGAGAUCAGAGCACUUGGUUCACAAAAUGAAAUAAUCAGACAUGAAAGUGCACCAGUUCCUCCCAUUGUUUGGUUGCGUUUUGAUAAUCCUUGUUAUCCUAACGGAAGGAUGAAUAUAAGUGCUCUGAAAACAAGCACUUUAAAUGCAAAUAUUGAUAUUAUGCCCUAGUCACAUAGGAAGGUAAAUUUAGACCUCUUGUUCCUUCAGAAACCUGUUUGUAGUUGAGAAAUCGAGUCCACCAGCCCCCCUCUCUUAGGUGAGCACUAUCUCUUCUAGAAGGAGGAUUGGUCUAGGAGUCAGAAGACUACCAGGUCCUGUUCUGCAUCUGCCUAAGUUUGUGCUUGUAUUAAAUUAUUUAAAGUCUUAUUUUUUUAUCUCUAAAAUAAAGGGCUUCAUAAGAUAGAUCUCUGAACUCCUUCCUUGAGUCUCAAAUCGUGAUUCACCAAAGUGCCCAGAACUCUCUCAGCCUUAGCCAAAAUAUAUGUGUGACUCUGCUACGUAACUGCAGCCUCCUUUGGUGCUGGACAGAAGAGGAAACAAGCAGCUUCCAAGACCACAUUCCUGAACAAGAGAGAAGAUUCUGCACUUAGGCUCAAGAUGCCCUCGGACUGAAUCUCUGCAGAACAGGGUAGGACACUGAGGCCCAGGAAGUUUGGGUGAAUUGCUCAAGGUCACAGUGCUGGUAAAUGGAGGACCCUAGACUCAAUCUCUGUUUGGCUCUAGGACCUGUUCCUUGGCCACUGUGGUCCCCAAAUCAGCAAGCUUUCCUCACCACCACUCUCAGGCCUCUUGCAAGUACAGCGCCUCCAGUCUGGAGCCUCCCCUCCAACACGGCUGGGUCAGGCUGGGGUCUCUUCCCCUCCUCACCCACCGUGCAGUGGUCGAUGACGCCUGCCUCUGCCCCGAUCCCACCUCUGGAGGCCCUUCGGUCUCCUUCGCACCUCCUCUCGACUUCGCCAUAGCCUCGGCUGCUCUGCAAAUCCUGGGCAUCUUCCUGAAGCUGCUCAGCUGGAUGAAUGAACACCUGGCCCCUGGCCCAUGGAAGGUGACCGCCUGCCUUGACAACAGCACCGUUGCCAUCCCAGCUGGUCUGAGAAGGGCUAUGGCUGCCCCACGUGGUACACAGCACAGCUCAGACACUCUGCAGGCCUGGCUGCUGGCAUGGGCCCAGGAGCUGCAUUCUCACCCUUCUUGUAGCCCUGCUGGACCAGCUGGUCUGCCUCUCCAAGGCCAGGAGUAAUACCUAUAUGGAGGACAAGACAUCCAUGGCCCAUGGUGCUCACUUCCGGAAUUAGCUUCCUCAUCCUGGAACUGGCCCUGAUCCCCAUCUGCUGGACAGCCCACAUCAUCAUCUGGGACUUGAACAAGCUCCUGGCAGCAGGGGCCGCCCUCUACUUGGGCUGGGCUGCCUCUGCCUCCCACCUUUCACUGGAUGGUGGGGUGGGUGCGGUGCAGGUCUGGAAAGCUGCGAGUGCCUGUCUGGAGUUGUGGGGCUCCAGCCAUUACAUGGCUGUCUUAGCCCCUUGGGGAUGCUGUAACAGAAUAUUUUCAACUGACUGGUUUAUAAACAACAGAGCUUCUGGAGGCUGGGAGGUCCAGGAUCAAGGCACCAGCAGAUUUUGUGUCUGGUGAGAGCCCUCUUCCUCACAGGAAGCCAUGGUUGGCUCCUCCAAAGAUGAACAGAGCCAAGAAAACGACUCCGACUCCCACCCUGGAUUCUACUGCCAGUGUUCUCACUGUUGGAUGAUGGAGCAAAAGAGACGAUGCUUUGAAGCUUCUGCAUCUUCCUCCACACCUUUUCCAAGACUUGGAAAUUGGAGCUCUUGGACACAUCCUCAUCUCAGAGGUAAACCUGGAGCUGGGGACCCAGUGGGAUGGGCUGCUUUCUGCCCCGGUUCUUCCUGACAAUAUCGUCUGUCUCUGGGAGGAGCUCCUGCUGCAAGGGGAGGAGCCUCCCUGGACCUGUAGGGACCACACUCUCCUUUCCCCUCAGUCCUCCCCCUCCCAGGGGUGUAGUUCCUAGAACAGCAGUAGAUAAGUUACCGAAGAAUAAGCCGUCUGACCCCUGACUCUUCUGUUCUGUUGAAUCUGCCAUCGUGUUCCCUGUGGGAGUGGGGACUGCUGGCCUUUCCUGGGCCCCAGCUGGGCUGUAGUCACCAGACUCACCAGACUCACUUUGCAGCCACUGCUUGCUUCUGCCUAUGCCCUUGCCCAUACUCAUAAAUUGUUGGGAAAAAAGAAGAAAAAAAAAAAGAGGUGUAUGGGGAGGCAUCCACGGCUCAGGCUCUAUCUUGCCCAUCAAUCCCCUUGGCUAGAAACUCAGGAGAUAACUUUACAAUUGGUCAAAGACCACUGAGUUUUUAAUAUUCAUCUUUAUUAACCUUAUCCUGAAUAUGUACACAGAGUAUUCUGGAUCAGAGACAGAUUUCUUGUUAAUUACUUUACAGUAAAUAAUAGGCAUGCUGGCACCCCAGGGUGUCACAAUGAGAGCCAGGUCAAAUGUCUCACCCAGUAACUGGGGACUCUGUAGUGAGUGAUAAGGAAAAGUGAUUUUUUCUUAGAAAAAUAAUGAGUCUGAUUGCUUGCUCCGUAUGUAAACAAAAUAUAUCCAGGGGUCAGAUAACCUCCUGUGUCUCAGCUUUUAUGACCCGAAAAUGACGCCAAGGUCUGGGCUUCAUACCGAGGAAGAUAGGACUACCAUCUUCCUGGCACUUCAGGGCUUAACCUAGGGACCUUGUCUAUGUUUUAACCAUUGGCUCUCUCAAGGAUAGAAGAGAAAACUUAUCCUCAUUUCAGAGCAGAAUGAUUAGACAAGUGGGCAUGGAUCUAGUUCUCGUAAUAUGUGAAGAGUGUCAAGAGGCGAGGGCUUCUUACAGGAGCACUAAGAAAACCAGGAAAGCUUUAUUUCCCUCCACGUAACCUCAAUGUUCUGAUAAUACCAAGGAGUGCCUGGAUAUUUCUCAUGUCCAAAAGUUCAACUUUAUUCUACCAGUUUUUGAGUUUAUAUUUUGCACAAAGGUGAGCGAGACCUAGUCCUUGUCCCUAAGUUGCAAUGACACAUAUGGUCAAUUUGUUAUAGGCUGGUGGGCCCUGAAACUGUGUCUUACCCAGUUUCAGAGCAGGCCCAUCAUCAUCACAUAGAGGGAGGCUUAGUGUUAAAUAGCGAUAGAAGAUUCUAACCAGAUGUCCUGCCUUCCAACAACCCCAUGAAAAUUGCUGGCUCCGUCACUGUGCAUAGCUGUCCUGGGGGCAUGUACUAUUGAUAGGAAGUUAUCUAUCCCAACCCCUCUGCAGUUUACAAAAUGCAAUGCCCACUGAGUAUCUCAUCAAUCUCAGUAACUAUAAAGUAGGCAAAAGAGUGAUAUAGCCCAGAUGUUAAGUGACUUGCCCAAAGUCAAAUGAUGAAUAAGUGACAGAACUCAAAUACAGACCUUUUGACAACAAAGCCAGAAUCCUUUCCACUACCUUUGUUUCAUGUAAUUCUAUGUGAACCCCUCAAUAAUAUUAAAAGUAUAAUGUUAAUUA